AGCGACCUCGCGGGAGAGCGCAGCGUUCAGCGAUGAGCGCUGCCGCCGAAGGGGCAACAUCCCCGGAACCUCUCAGGCACCCAGACCGCGCGGCCAUG
rnacentral:ncRNA from 2 species